rfam:Brachypodium distachyon strain Bd21 chromosome 4, whole genome shotgun sequence.
GUCGUACUUCCUCCGUCCAACAAAGGAUGUCUCAACUUUGACUAAAUUUGGAUGCAUAUCUAGACAUGACUUGACUUUGACUAAAUUUGAAUGCAUCUAUACAUUAAGUCAUGUCUAGAUAUACAUCCAAAUUUUGACAAACUUGAGACAUCUUUUGUUGGACGGAGGGAGUAUUAG